UUUAAACAAACAACUUUUCAUUUUCUUAUGUUGUAGGAGGCACUUGGAAUCAGGACAUACCUGCAUGAUCGCGGACUGAUGCAAUAUGCAGAUAAGAUAGAGGCCUGCGGGAGAAGUUUGCCGGAGCUUCUCAAUUUAAGCACUAUAGAUCUUUCUGCUCAGUUUGACAUGAAGAGGGAUCAUCAACAGAACCAGAUUCAGUGAACCAGCAUGAGCUACAAAGAAGAUAGGAUCCCAAAGCGCCUUUUAUCUAAUGGCUCCAAUAGCAUGAUGAGAUCAAAUGAAUACCCAAAGGAUAUGUCUUCAAAGGGAUCCUAGAGCAUGUGGCUGCGUGCAACCUCCUCCAGUCGUUGACCAAGUUGCUCCAUAUUCUGCUAUUGAAAAUAUAUCAGUUCAAAAGCUAACACCGGAGUAUAAGAUUGGCAUGGAACCAUUAGUGAAAACCAAGACUCCUCCAAUGAUGUCUACGACGACCAGGGUGCAUCAUGUGUAGAGCAGAAGCACACAAACUUUUCUCCCAGAAACCAAUAUUUGAUGCACUUGGGGUUAAACUAUUUGCUGUUCUUCAUGAGCACAUAGAGGCAGAGGUAUUAACAGACUUCAACUAUCACCAUUUCUUCUAUCAAUCAACUUAAAGGUAAAAGAUUUCUGGCCUAGAUACUGGGGAGGUGUUGUACUUCAAAGCUCUUGGAGGGGGCAAUCUGCUCAAGGAAAAGUUCCUAACGGUAUUUCUGUUGAAUCCUCGAUGCAGAACCAACAGCAAGGUUAGAGGAAGUAUAACCAGCCAUCAAACAAAUGCAUUCACUAUUUCACUAGAAUUCAGUUUCUUGCGAUAAUUCCAUCUCGACUACAGCCAGUAUAAUGUUCUUUGCACUCUACAAGUCUGAAGCAGGCUGUCAUUCACUCAUUCUCUUUGGGAGCAAGUAUUUAUCUCUGAUAGACAUUGGUGUGCGUAUACAGCAUGUGUAAGUGUAACUAUGAAGAUCAUUUUAAUUGAUCGUUUGGUAAUGUUGGUUUCAUGGGAAGUUUGGUGCCGGGAUGGUAAGUGUGGAUCUAUCUAUACGUUGGUUCCUUGUUGCCUCAGUUUCGUACAAAUCAUGUUUUCCCUUCUUAGAAUAUAACUUACCCUGCUCAACUUAAUUUAACAGAUAUCAAGAAAGAAAUGGUAGUUGGAGCUGGGAUUUUAUUUAUGCUUGGUAUUAUGCUUUAUAAACUUGAUAAAAGAAAGAUGGUAUUAUGAAACUAGCACUUCAAAAAGUAUUCAUAUACUCAAGGGUAGAGUCAUAUUCUGAAGUGCAAGUUUAAUGUACUUGUGUGGAUUGAGUUCAAAAUAGUCCAAAAUAUAUUUAGUCAAGAAGUUCACAGCUAACGGACAAGGAAUGAGUUGAGAGGAAGAGAGAGUUACUAAUCAGGUAUUUAAUCUCAAACUGUAUAAUUGAUUAUGUUAGUAAUAGUCUUUGAUUAUGGCCCAUCUGAUUCUCAUUUCAAGGCUAAGAUGCAUGCAUGAAAUUUUAUGCAUAUAGAUACACAAGUUACACCUUUGUAUGUACCUUAUCAGCUUCUGCACAACCAAUAUCAUAGUUGGUAUUUUAAUCAUAUCUGCUGGAGGG